UAAGCUGUUCAUUAACAUUCAUUAUUGUUUUGGGUAAAGUUAUUUGUAACCAGGGCAAUGAAUUGCUCAGAAAUAGUAGAGGCAAAAAUGUCAGAAGCAAAAGGAGGUUAAGUAGUUGAUAGCUGAAACAUUUUGUGGUAAUUUAGGAAAAAUAGGUUUAAUAAUUUUUAGUAUGGAGACCUUUCAUUAGUUGGUUAACUAAAAACGACAAGAGUAAUAUGAUCAGAGAAAUUUGUUGGUUAUAAUAGUUUAAAAUUCUAAGAUGAGCAUGUAACAGAGCCAAAGAUUAUUGAAGAGAAUGGCAAUUUUGUCUUUACACCAGCUGUUAAGUAAGUUCCCUUUCCAUAGUAAAAUAAUGGUUUUAAUUCCUUUCAAAAUGUGAAGGUGUAAAUUUUAGAUUAAGUUACUCUUGGAUAUUAGGAAGUGUCCUGUCCAAGAUGAUACUGAUACUGUGUUCUUGAGAUAGGCAAUACUCUGGUUAUAUUAUAUAAAUACUCUGGUUAUAUUAUUUAAUUUAGUAACAUCUAAAAGCCAAGGAGCUUGGCACUCAAAACUUGAGUGCAGUUAACUUUAUCUGUAUCACUGAGGUUCGUGUAAAAUAACGGAAAAAAUUGAUACUAUUUCUUUUAGUCAUUUUUGUUUGUCAUCGUAAAAAUGAAUGCAAAUAAGUCGCAGGAAGUUUUUAAGCAAGGUGGAUCAAGUUGUAAAAUGAUUCACACUAUACGUAGUAUCAAGGCUAACCAUAAUAUACUGGUACGGAAUAUCAUUGUGAGUGCUAAUCUGACUUGUGAGUGAUCUUUGGAGAGAUUAACCAAAGAAUAAUACAAUAAAUUUGUUUUGAAAGAAAUAGGCUCACGAACAAUGAAAUUUUGUGCCACUGUUGGAGUUACAUACUUGGUAUUCGUUUUUAAUUAAUUAACUAUAUUUAAGGGUUUAAGUUUAUGGUUAACACUACUACAUUUUCAAUCUUUUGGUUGAGUGAUAAAAAAUAAGUUUAUUUGUAUACAGCAGUUAUUUUAUAUAUUUUGUUAUUUUUUCUUUUUUUUUUUUCUAGUGAAAGGAUGUUCCAAGUACUCAUGUAAGGACAAUCUGGUUUUUGAAAACUACUCAAACUACUGUAUGCUGAAAAUAGAAGAAAACAGUAUACAGUGUGCGCUGAAAGCAUCAGUUGAUACAGCAGAGUUCAAAAGCCACGUAAAUUAUUGCACUGCAUUUAAGGUUGACAUAUACCUUAUGGUAAUAGAGUACUAAAGUAUGAGUAACUAUUUCAAGAUUUAUAGGUUAUGUAUGGUAUGGUAUUCAGAUUUAUUCAUUGAAAGGUUUUUUUUUCUGUAGUUUAUAGAUAAUUAGAUUUAUUUAAAAAGGGAGAGUUUUAUUUUGUCCAUUUGAGAUUUAUAAUUUCAAUCAGGAAAAUAUCUAUUUUUUUCAUCUUCAAAUUGCAGAAUAAUUUGAGAUUGUUUUAGUAUGCAUAUGCCGAUUUUUUUCAAAAGCAACAAAUUUAAUUUCUUAAUAUGUACAUCUUUGUUUUUUUUCUGUAGUUUAUAGAUAAUUAGAUUUAUUUAAAAAGGGAGUUUUAUUUUGUCCAUUUGAGAUUUAUAAUUUCAAUCAGGAAAAUAUCUAAUUUUUUCAUCUUCAAAUUGCAGAAUAAUUUAUGAGAUUAAUUGUUUAAGCAUGCAUAUGCCAAUUUUUUUUUCACAAGCAACAAAUUUAAUUUCUUAUUGUAUACAUCUUUAUGUACUUUUGUAAAUAAUACUUCUAAAUCUCUGGUACUGUCAGCAUUUUGCUAAUUCUUGAGUCUUUUCAAUAAACAACUUUAAAUCAUA